GAAAUGCGAUAAGUAAUGUGAAUUGCAGAAUUCAGUGAAUCAUCGAAUCUUUGAACGCAUAUUGCGCUCUCCGGCAUUCCGGAGAGCAUGCCUGUUUGAGUAUCGGUUUAUAGAAGGGAAAACCACUUGUGAUUUCACCCUGUGCCUGAGACUUCUCGACUAGUUAUAGACGAGUGUCUUAAAAAGAAAAAGUACAGCAAAACUGAAGACCUUGGAGUAAUAUGUGGCCUGAAAGGGUAACUCUUUAUUCUUCUCGGUGGUAGGUUGAUAAUGCUGGAAGUGUUAUGCUGCGUAAAAGCAACAAACCACUGUUUGAAGGCAACUUUGAACAUGUAAACACGAUCUCAAAUCAGGUAGGAUUACCCGCUGAACUUAA
rnacentral:misc_RNA from 1 species